UCAACCAUUAAACUCAUUAUCACCCAACUUAAUGAGAGGCUAUGAUCUAGUUAUCGCCAUAAUUAUUUCAUUUUAGGGAUCUAACAAUUUUAGAGGAUUUAAUUAGUUAAAUUGAGAGAUGAGAUGAGAUUUGAUCAGUUAAUCUUAAUUCUCCCACUGACUUCACCAAGUCAGAUUUAAGAAGAUCAGAUAUAAGCUGAUCCAACCAACUAGUCA
rnacentral:lncRNA from 1 species